rfam:Triticum aestivum genome assembly, contig: Triticum_aestivum_CS42_TGACv1_scaffold_129909_2BL
CUGAUACUCCCUCCGUCUGAAAAAACUUGUCUCAAGUUUGUCCCUUAAAUGAAUGUAUUUAGCACUAACUUGAUGCUAGAUACAUUCAUUUGAGGGACAAGCUUUUUCAAACGGAGGGAGUAUCUG